rnacentral:rRNA from 1 species
AGUGAACGCUGGCGGUAGGCCUAACACAUGCAAGUCAAACGGCAGCACAGUAAGAGCUUGCUCUUACGGGUGGCGAGUGGCGGACGGGUGAGGAAUACAUCGGAAUCUACUUUUUCGUGGGGGAUAACGUAGGGAAACUUACGCUAAUACCGCAUACGACCUACGGGUGAAAGCAGGGGAUCUUCGGACCUUGCGCGAUUGAAUGAGCCGAUGUCGGAUUAGCUAGUUGGCGGGGUAAAGGCCCACCAAGGCGACGAUCCGUAGCUGGUCUGAGAGGAUGAUCAGCCACACUGGAACUGAGACACGGUCCAGACUCCUACGGGAGGUAGCAGUGGGGAAUAUUGGACAAUGGGCGCAAGCCUGAUCCAGCCAUACCGCGUGGGUGAAGAAGGCCUUCGGGUUGUAAAGCCCUUUUGUUGGGAAAGAAAAGCAGCAGGUUAAUACCCCGCUGUUCUGACGGUACCCAAAGAAUAAGCACCGGCUAACUUCGUG